GUUUCUUCAAUAGGUGGUGCUGGGAAAACUGGAUGGCUAUAUGUAAAAGAAUGAAAUUAGAACAUUCUCUAACAUCAUAUAAAAAAAUAAACUCAAAAUGUAUUAAAGACCUAAAUGUAAGAACGGAUACUACAAAACUCCUACAGGAAGACACUGGCUGAACACUCUUUGACAUAAAUCACAGCAAGAUU